rnacentral:tRNA from 4 species
CGCGGGAUAGAGCAGUUGGAAGCUCGUCGGGCUCAUAACCCGGAGGCCGUUGGUUCGAAUCCAGCUCCCGCUACCA